GCCCAAUUUCGAAAAAAAAGAAAAGAAGAAGAGGAGAAACGAGCAAAAGAUAAAGGGGCACUUCUAAAAUAUUUUGGAGCAUCCUCUGCCACUGGUCAGGAUGAGCCAACCACCUCCUCCGCUACACAUAUGUAUCCACAAAUAUCUGAUAUUGAGGAUGAAGACCUCUUUGCCUCUACUUCUACCCAGCAUGAGCUUUCAGAAAUGCCUGGAGCUGAACCCCCACUGAGCCCCACUGGCCCUCACAUCUGACUGACAGGAUUCGGACUGAGCUGGUUCACAGAGGACCAAGUAAAGUGCCACCUGGCUUUGUUUUCCGUAGGAAUGAGAGUAAUGGGAGAAGUUACCACCACUAAUAUUUUAAGAAGACAUUAGUAAGUGGUGAAAAGAUGGCAAGAAGUUGGCUGAUUUAUUCAAUUAAGAACAACAGCCUCUUUUG